UUCAAGCAAUUUGAAAUUCUUCAUUUUUUAUGAUAAUAUUUUAUUUCGUAUAUAUGUUUAUAGGUUUAUUCGUAUCAACAAAUCUGUGUACGAGUUAAUAACGCAGCCUGGUUCCCUGCAUUUUCAGUGAACCACAGAGAACCAGAAUAAGAUUGUAGGGAAACAAGCCUUGUUACAAGGUUUGAGGGUCUCUGCUAGUAUCAUGUGGACCCCAGUGUAACAAAUCUAUGGAAAGAGAGAAAAUCUCAGCUCAAGGGUCAACAUGUCUUUAUUCCAAGAAAGAGUGUACAUUGUACAUAUGCCAGAAUCAUAUGGACCACAGACUGGCCCUGGUGAUUCCGUUAAAAAAAAAGAGGAAAAAUCAGUGCUUGUGCUCAUUGGUCAUUGGACAAAGGAUGAAUGCCAGAAUUUUUUCAAGAACAGUCUGAAUCUGACAUGGAAAAAUGAAGAAAAACAGCCUUCCUGUUUAUAAAUCUACAUUCUGACAAAGGGUAAGAAAGAAAUUCAGGAGUUCUUAAAUUGCCCUUGGAGUUCUUGGAUUGCAUCAAACUGCUAAAAGACCUCAACAAAAACAGCAUCUUGAAAAUAAAAAUGAAAAUAUUCAGUGAAUAAAAAAUGAUGAAAGAGCCACUAAAAAUCUUCAAGCCUUUGAGCUGAAAUCUGGAAGUCAAUCUGUGGACUUUACUAGUAUGUCAUAAUUACUAAGUCAUCAUUUGUGUAUAAUAAAUACACUAAACUGUAAACACUUGUUAAAAUGUGUAUAAUUUUUAGAUAUAAUUUGUAGCUCACAGACUUCAAUAGUUUCAUGUAAUGUAAGUAAUAAUGAAAAUUUCCUGUUGUCUAGCUAGAUUAGAAACUAUUAUUGUCCAAUUUUGGAUAUUGUGAAAUAAUUCAUCUAGUAUGCAUACAUGUGUGUACACUUACGUGUAAAUUAAUUGUUAUAGCAAAUUCAAUCGAUCAUUAAGUUGAAUGUUGACUAAUGUUUUUCAUCAAAAUUGUUUACACUGAAUUGUUUGUGGAUUUUUCCAUUUGCCCAGUCAUGUCAAGGAGCACAUGGCAGGAAAUGCUUUCUCCUCCAUUGCACCUGGUGUUUUUAGAGGUCUGUGUUUGCUCUGCUCUAAUUAUGUAUUGUUUCAAUGGACUUUAAAGCUUGAUCACUGUUGGUAAUCUUCAUAUUUCAUAUACUAUUAGAGUACUUGAAGAAAACUGUAAAGAUUUAACAUACAGUAUAAUGCAUGUAUAUUGCACUUUAAGUACAGUGUAUGUGGUUAAGAAAUGUUAAAUCGUCUCAUAGUGCAUUGAAUUUGUUGAAAAUUAGAAAAUGUGUUGAAUUUUUUUUUAAAUAAUGUUAGAUUGCAGAUUUUUUUAAAUCAUGCAAGUAAGAAAUUGCUAAAUAUUUUUUAGCUUUUCUGGACAGUCUAGAUGAGUUCUUAUUAUAUACCUAGCAUUGUCAUCCCAGUUAAAAUUUAAGGAGCAAGGUUCAUUCCUAAGCUCUACCUGGACAAACUUGCAUGGAAUAAAGCACAUUAACAGAUUUACUUCAGAUGCUUGACCUGAUCUACAUUUUCCUCAUGUGUUUUUUUUUUGUUUUUGUUUGUUUGUUGUUUAACAUCCCUCUCAAGAAUUUUUCAUCCAUAUGGAGAUGCCACUACUUGCUGGUGGAGAGCUGCAAAAUUUGACCUAUACUUUGCACUCAGGGCCUUGAGCAGUAAGGGAUCUUUUUUGUGCCCACAUCAACUGCUAGGCGGGACCUCAGUUUAUAUGGUCUAAUCUGAAGGACUGGUCCCCACAACCCCAGUGGAUUUGAACCUGAGACUUAAGGAUUAAAUCCUUACUCGCGACUCUAGAUUACAAACUCUCUCCUUUGCGCCACAUGGGGGACUCGACAAGAUUAAGUGUUUUGAGCAGUCCUAUUCUCAUGUAAUUAUAAACUCUAUGUUGAACAAACCUGCAAAGAUGAUGUAUGUACAUGUAAAUGUUUCAGGGUACCAAUCCUUGAUUUGACUUAGAUUUUCUGGAUUAAUGACCAGUUUUUAGAGAAGGUUCAUUCAAAGUAACAAUAUACUCUUUGGUGAUCAGUAAACAUAGAUGAUGUAUCCUGCUUCUGAUGCUGGAUGUAACAUACAUUUUCAGGGUUAUUGAGCAGUUAAAUCUAACCCAGACCAACUUACAUAGAUUUUGGAUCCAGGUGAUAUACAUUACCAGAGUGUUUGUUGAGUGAGACUUUGCCUUACUAGUAGAUAACAUUUAUAGAAGUGUUUUUUCUUUGCUCAGGAUAUAUAUACCAUCAGUGCCAACUACCAUACAUUUUAUAUAAUAGAUGUAGCUGUUGUUCAACUGAAUAUGAUAAAACUGUGGAUGAAAAUAAUUUGAUUUUUGUACCUUUGAAUGUAUUGAAUUCAUUUGUAAAAGCUGUUAUGAUACAAUGUUUGAUAUUUUAUAAAAGUUUUUAGCAUAUGCAAUCAAUAAAUGUAUCAACAUUUUUAUUUUAUUAUACUUUUUACCCUGCAAACUUCUUAAAAACAGAAUAGUAAUGAUCCAUUUAGCUGAUACUAGGUUAGUGUCACAUUGUACUGGUAUAUCAUGUAUACUGAACUGUAAAUAAGAAACAUCUAAAUAGGUAAAAUCACAGCAUGAAUCAUUGGAUUAUGUAAGAAGUGCUUUGGUAUGGUAUUAAUAAUAAAUGUUAAACUAUCAUUUUUUUUUUCAAAUUAACAAAGGAUAUGCUUGAGUGACUGUAUUUUGACUAGCAGUAAAAAUAAAAUGAUUUUUAAGCA